rnacentral:piRNA from 1 species
UGCCGUUGCUGAGUGGCACUGACUACUGC